rnacentral:rRNA from 1 species
GACGAACGCUGGCGGCGUGCUUAACACAUGCAAGUCGAACGGUAAGGCCCUUCGGGGUACACGAGUGGCGAACGGGUGAGUAACACGUGGGUGAUCUGCCCUGCACUUCGGGAUAAGCCUGGGAAACUGGGUCUAAUACCGGAUAGGACCACUGCCUGCAUGGGUGGUGGUGGAAAGCUUUUGCGGUGUGGGAUGGGCCCGCGGCCUAUCAGCUUGUUGGUGGGGUGAGGGCCUACCAAGGCGACGACGGGUAGCCGGCCUGAGAGGGUGACCGGCCACAGUGGGACUGGGAUACGGCCCAGACUCCUACGGGAGGCAGCAGUGGGGAAUAUUGCACAAUGGGCGCAAGCCUGAUGCAGCGACGCCGCGUGAGGGAUGACGGCCUUCGGGUUGUAAACCUCUUUCAGCACCGACGAAGCGCAAGUGACGGUAGGUGCAGAAGAAGGACCGGCCAACUACGUGCCAGCCGCCGCCGUAAGAC